GACGAACGCUGGCGGCGCGCUUAACACAUGCAAGUCGAACGGAAAGGCCUGCUUUCCCUUGUGGAUUGCGGGUACUCGAGUGGCGAACGGGUGAGUAACACGUGAGUGAUCUGCCCCCAACUUGGGUAUAAGCCUGGGAAACUGGGUCUAAUUCCCGAUAGGACUGCAGGGUGGUGCCUGUGGUGGAAAACGAUUUUCUAGUGGUUGGGGAUGAGCUCGCGGCCUAUCAGCUUGUUGGUGGGGUAAUGGCCUACCAAGGCGGCGACGGGUAGCCGGCCUGAGAGGGUGGACGGCCACAUUGGGACUGAGAUACGGCCCAGACUCCUACGGGAGGCAGCAGUGGGGAAUAUUGCACAAUGGGCGGAAGCCUGAUGCAGCGACGCCGCGUGGGGGAUGACGGCCUUCGGGUUGUAAACUCCUUUCGACAGCGAGGAAGCCACCUGGUUGGAAGGGUGGUGACGGUAGUGGUAGAAGAAGCACCGGCUAACUACGUGC
rnacentral:rRNA from 1 species